GCUCGCUGUCGGCUCUGUAGCUCCGUACGGAGGACUUGGUGCUCUCGAUGCACCACUGAGCGCACUGGACACCGUGCAGGUGGAAGAAAAUCACGGAUCCUUUACUUAAUGAAGCUGUCUUAAGUAGGCCUGAGCAUGAAUCUGUCCUGGGGGGUUACGUGGAAAAAUCUGAUGUGAAAUGAUUGCUGCAUUAGUGCUAAGCAAAGUUAACUGUAUGAUGUACACGAUCAGGCCUGCUGCUGAAAGUAACACGAGAGAAGAUUGAGCUUUGCGAGCUUCUCAGCGGUUUCUGUGCAGUACCGCCUGUUGGACACCAGGCGGCAGCCCAGGCAAACACUUGCUUCAUUUGUGAAGCCUCCUACAGAGGAAGCGGUGAUCCAGCGUUUGUUUACCUGACAUGACAGUGAAGCGUUUAUACGUUUCCAAUGCAAAACAUGUCACAUAUUAUGUGUUAAUACAGUCCACGUGCAGGACCAAACGGUGUCAAAAGCCGUUUCACACUGUGGUGUCUUCCUCCAGCAGGCUGCUGUCAGCGGGUCAGCCGCUCUGGAGGGAGUCCCGGGGGGAAGAGCAGCUCGCUGCCCUGCCCUCCAGCAGGAGGUAUGUGGGGAUUAGGGGGAGGUCACCGACUGACCCCGCUGUACGCGACCUCUGCUCGGAGCUGCUCAUAAAUCCUGCUGCAGAUCCUGCACCCCCCUGUGCUCGCUCACACACGUGCUGAAAACACACCUGAACAAGCCUCCGAGCUGUUCAACUUAAAGGGUCACUGCACACAAACUGUGGAAGAACCCGCAGAGUGGUUCGAGCUAACAAGCUAACAUCCGGGUGACAUGAUGAUGAUAAUGGAAGUGCACUGUGGUUCACAUGUGAUGACAUGAGCUCCAGCCGGCGUUUCCCUUCCCGCACUUGUUUUUCAUUUGCAGCUGACUCAUGUGGUUGAAGGCACCUCUGCACCUUUUCAUCUUCACUCUGAACCGAAGAGCGAGUCGUCGCCACGCGGCCAGUGGAAAGCUUCGCCGAAGCCAGGGGGUGGCCUGAGGUCGAAAUAAGAAGCCGUUUCAAACAUCAGAGUGGAGUUCAAAAGUGGCUUUGAAGCGUCUGGUUCUGCUGCUGUCAGACCACACUCACAGUUCACACCACCCUGAGCUGGAGCUGCCUCUUCACCGAACAGAGCUUCAGCUGAGGGAACAAAAUCAGUUUAAGUGUCUUCAUGUAGAACCCAGCAGAGCAGAAGUUUAUCGUUUGAGUUGAACUUAAUCAGGCGGAUCCACUACAUUGUGUCAGUGUGUCAUUGAUGAGGAACUACAGAAUGAACUGUGGUCAAAACACAAACAUUAAAAAUGUAAACAUCA